GGGUGCGUAACGCGUAUGCAACCUGCCCUCAACCGGGACACAACGCCGAGAAAUUGGCGCUAAUAUCCCAUGUGUACAGGAGACGGCAUCGUUUUCUGUAUAAAGAUUUAUUGGUUGAGGAUGGGCAUGCGUAACAUUAGCUAGUUGGCGGGGUAACGGCUCACCAAGGCGACGAUGUUUAGGGGUUCUGAGAGGAUUCACCCCCACACUGGAACUGAGACACGGUCCAGACUCCUACGGGAGGCAGCAGUAGGGAAUAUUGGGCAAUGGAGGCAACUCUGACCCAGCCAUGCCGCGUGAAGGAAGACGGCCCUAUGGGUUGUAAACUUCUUUUGCCGCAGAGUAACCGCGGGGACGUGUCCCCGCCUGAGAGUAUGCGGCGAAUAAGUAUCGGCUAACUCCGUGCCAGCAGCCGCGGUAAUACGGAGGAUACGAGCGUUAUCCGGAUUUAUUGAGUUUAAAGGGUGCGCAGGCGGACCGUUAAGUCAGGGGUGAAAAGUUGGGGCUCAACUCCAAUCGUGCCUUUGAUACUGGCGGACUAGAGUGCAGGGGACGUGACUGGAAUGUGAUGUGUAGCGGUGAAAUGCUUAGAUAUGUCACAGAACGCCGAUCGUGAAGAC
rnacentral:rRNA from 1 species